rnacentral:lncRNA from 1 species
AUCGGUAGCACGGAAGCCUCCGUGCUACCAAGUUGUUUUCAAUGAUGCCGCUUCCAAAUCGACAAUCGGCUUCGUUAGACUUGAUCUACACUAUUAAAAGUAUUUGAAAACUAAGUUUCAUAAUUUUUCGGUAUCAUUUACCUAUCAAACGAGUAGUCUAAAAUGAACGGCCGAAAAUAAAAAUCUCAUAAAAAAUAAUGAUAGAAGACUUGAAUUUAAGAUCAGAGGUACUGAUCUUACUCUAAAUAGUAAAAAGAAAUUUUUAUAAAAAUUUCAUUUGAUUUGAAUUGUUUUACACCGUUAAAUUUACAAAUGCAUCACAUCUACCAUUAAAAUUGUCAAUUUUGAGACCUUUUGAUCACUAGCCAAAUGAUGUCGAAAAAUUAUGAAAUUUAGUUUCCAAAUAUUUUUAAUGGUCUAGAUCAAGUUUGACGGAACCGAUCGUCAAUUUGGAAGCCACAUCAUUGAAAACAACUUGGUAGUACGGAGGUCUCUGUGCUACCGAUAGUAUACUAGCCUAACUCUAUAUAUAUAUAGAGUGAGGCUACUAUGCUAUCGGAAGCACGGAGCCUUCCGUGCUUCCAGCUCGUUUUCGAUGUUGUGACUUUCGAAUCGUCGAUCGGCUCCGUUAAACUUGAUCUAGAGUAUUUGGAGUACCUAGAAAAUAAAUUUUAUUAUUUUUCGAUAUCAUUUGCCUAGUGAUCGAAUGGGCUCAAAAUCAACAAAUUUCAAUGGCCGUAGUGAACCGUUUGCAAGUUUAACGGUGUAGAAAUAUCCAAAUCACGUGAAAUUUUGAUAGAAAAUUCUUUAUACUAUAUAAAACAAGAUCAAUAUCUUUGAUUUAAAAUUUUAAUGUCAUAUUAUUACAUUUUGUAAGAUUUUUAUUU